rnacentral:rRNA from 1 species
GUGGGGAAUAUUGGACAAUGGGCGCAAGCCUGAUCCAGCCAUGCCGCGUGAGUGAUGAAGGCCCUAGGGUUGUAAAGCUCUUUCACCGGUGAAGAUAAUGACGGUAACCGGAGAAGAAGCCCCGGCUAACUUCGUGCCAGCAGCCGCGGUAAUACGAAGGGGGCUAGCGUUGUUCGGAAUUACUGGGCGUAAAGCGCACGUAGGCGGACAUUUAAGUCAGGGGUGAAAUCCCGGGGCCCAACCCCGGAACUGCCUUUGAUACUGGGUGUCUCGAGUCCGGAAGAGGGGAGUGGAAUUCCGAGUGUAGAGGUGAAAUGGGGAGAUAGUCGGGGGAACACCAGUGGCGAAGGCGGCUCACUGGUCCGGUACUGACGCUGAGGUGCGAAAGCGUGGGGAGCAAACAGGAUUAGAAACCCGAGUAGUCC